AACAAGGCGUACCUGCGGACCUGCGGAGGGAUCAUCAUUGAACAAAGCUUUUUCAAGCCUGGGAGGGGGUGGUUACUCUGCUCUUCCGGCUUGUAAAAACAAACAACUUUGAUACCCAAAAAGAGUCAAUCUCUUUCCUGCUGGGAAAGAGAGGGGGAAACCCCAGACAAACACAAGUAGUUGCCUGAUAAAAAAGAGUUUGGAUUGGAAAGAAACAUGAAACAACUUUCAACAACGGAU
rnacentral:misc_RNA from 1 species